rnacentral:pre_miRNA from 1 species
GUGACAGAAGAGAGCGAGCACACAUGGUUCUUGCAUGGAUAAAUCCCCAUGCUUAAAAGCUAUGUGUGCUUUCUCUCUAUCUAUCAC